GCUGGGUGUAGUGGUGCACACCUGUAAUCCCAGUAUCUGGGGAGGCUGAGGCAGGCGGAUUGCAAGUUCAAGGCCAGACUCAGUAAAAUUAGUGAGGCUCUAAGCAACUUAGUGAGACUCUAUCUCAA
rnacentral:sRNA from 1 species